GAUUUGAUGGUGUAGUUGGUUAUCUCAUCUCUCUGACAUAGUAGCUGCGACACAGACUCAUGCACAGAAGGUCCUCAGUUCAAGCCCGGGUCAAAUCA